rnacentral:rRNA from 1 species
CAGCCGCCGCGGUAAUACGAGGGGAGCUAGCGUUGUUCGGAAUUACUGGGCGUAAAGCGCGCGUAGGCGGCUUUUUAAGUCAGAGGUGAAAGCCCGGGGCUCAACCCCGGAAUUGCCUUUGAAACUGGAAAGCUAGAAUCUUGGAGAGGUCAGUGGAAUUCCGAGUGUAGAGGUGAAAUUCGUAGAUAUUCGGAAGAACACCAGUGGCGAAGGCGACUGACUGGACAAGUAUUGACGCUGAGGUGCGAAAGCGUGGGGAGCAAACAGGAUUAGAGACCCCUGUAGUCCCUGUCUCUUAUAC